rnacentral:rRNA from 1 species
GACAGAGGAGCCAAGCGUUGUCCGGAUUGACUGGGCGUAAAGCGCACGCAGGCGGUCGCGCGCGUGGGGUGUGAAAUCUGGCCGCUUAACGGCCAGGCGCCAUCCCAUACGGCGCGACUGGAGUGAUGCAGAGGUCGAUGGAAUUGCCGGUGUAGUGGUGAAAUGCGUAGAGAUCGGGCAGGAACACCCAGGGGGGAAACCAGUCGACUGGGCAUCUACUGACGCUGAGGUGCGAGAGCGUGGGGGAGCGAACCGG